UGCGACUCAUACCGGUUCCCCUUUUGGAGACGAACGGAGUUCACUUCCGGCCACCCUGCCGCCGUUGCCGAUUCAGACGAACAUAAUAAACCUAAACGAAUAAAUAUUCGAUCUUCGAGCUUCAUAGGUUCCUUCCGUUUCAUCGAAUUGCUUUCAGCAUCACAACAACUACUUCCAACGAAAUCGAAACGGCGUUGAUGAAGAGUAGAGAGAUUUACUUGUAAUUACAGUUUUCAUUCACUUCAGGAUCAGAUUUUUAUUUAUUCAAUUAAGGGCAAAAUCUGGUAAGAAGCAAUCAUUAGAAGAUGCUGGUGGCAAAAUUGCACAUUCUGCAAUGAGCUUGCCUUAAAAUAAGUCAAAGUAGGAGAGGUAAAAGAGCAAAGAUGAAAUAUAUGACUUGGUUCACCCAGCUGUGGAUACAAGAUUGUUCGAGUAAAGGGGUAUUAGUAGAGCGGGCAAUUCUGACCCACAUGCAUAAAAUGGGUCGUUUUGGAUCUUUUUUAAAUCACCAUGGGUUGAUUUGGGUUUCUUUUUAGUAAUCAAUGGGUCUGGCUGGAUCACCCUAAAAUACAGAAAGAUUUUACGGGUCAAAACCCGUGUUUGGAAUUAAAAAGAAACAAACGGGUGGAACGGGUUAGUGGGUUCAGAAGUAAAAUGAAACAGGUGGAACUAGUUAGAAAAAAUCUCCGGUUUUUUCCUCAAAAGCUUUUCUUUUUCUUCUCUCUAAAUCUGAGAUUGUCACUCUCACACAAAAUUAGUUCUUAAAAAAUCUCACCAAACCACCAUAUUAGAAGCUUACAGAUUCUCCUCUACUCUCGUCUCCUUUUACGCACUAUCUCUGUGUUCCGGUAAACUAGCGACAGGGCCGUUCCAAUGUUUUUGGAGACCAUAAGCGAACUACGAAGUGGGGGCCUUAAUUUCACCCAUAAACUCUCCUCCAAUCCCACUGGACCCGUCGCCAUUGGUGAUUACGGUUAUUUUUUUUUUGUCUAGUAAUAGCGGAUAGCCUAGAAAUUGAAAGCAGGUUGUGAUGGGAAGUGAGAAAGAUGAUUGUGGUUGUAUUUUAGGGGCUUUAGGGCGCUGAAUAAGGAUGUUAGGUCGAUGGUUGUUGUUGUGUUGUAAUAGGUGGAAAUUAAUGCGAAAUGAGCUUUGAAACUGA